CCUACGGGACGCAGCAGUGGGGAAUAUUGGACAAUGGGCGAAAGCCUGAUCCAGCCAUGCCGCGUGUGUGAAGAAGGCCUUCGGGUUGUAAAGCACUUUCAGUGGGGAAGAAAGCCUUGGGGCUAAUACCCUCGAGGAAGGACAUCACCCACAGAAGAAGCACCGGCUAACUCCGUGCCAGCAGCCGCGGUAAUACGGAGGGUGCGAGCGUUAAUCGGAAUUACUGGGCGUAAAGCGCGCGUAGGCGGUCUGAUAAGCCGGUUGUGAAAGCCCCGGGCUCAACCUGGGAACGGCAUCCGGAACUGUCAGGCUAGAGUGCAGGAGAGGAAGGUAGAAUUCCCGGUGUAGCGGUGAAAUGCGUAGAGAUCGGGAGGAAUACCAGUGGCGAAGGCGGCCUUCUGGACUGACACUGACGCUGAGGUGCGAAAGCGUGGGUAGCAAACAGGAUUAGAUACCCGGGUAGUC
rnacentral:rRNA from 1 species